rnacentral:rRNA from 1 species
CCUACGGGAGGCAGCAGUGGGGAAUAUUGGACAAUGGGGGCAACCCUGAUCCAGCCAUGCCGCGUGUGUGAAGAAGGCCCUCGGGUUGUAAAGCACUUUCAGUGAGGAAGAACGCCUGUUGGUUAAUACCCAGCAGGAAAGACAUCACUCACAGAAGAAGCACCGGCUAACUCCGUGCCAGCAGCCGCGGUAAUACGGAGGGUGCGAGCGUUAAUCGGAAUUACUGGGCGUAAAGCGCGCGUAGGUGGCUUGAUAAGCCGGUUGUGAAAGCCCCGGGCUCAACCUGGGAACGGCAUCCGGAACUGUCAAGCUAGAGUGCAGGAGAGGAAGGUAGAAUUCCCGGUGUAGCGGUGAAAUGCGUAGAGAUCGGGAGGAAUACCAGUGGCGAAGGCGGCCUUCUGGACUGACACUGACACUGAGGUGCGAAAGCGUGGGUAGCAAACAGGAUUAGAUACCCCGGUAGUC